CGAUACUUUUGUAUCGUUUAUUGCAUUUACGGAGGGAGUGAUGUAUGCUGGGUAAUGGCACAGCUAGCUACUGGGUGACUUUAUUCACCCGCUUCGGCUGUUAUCAGUCCAUACAAUGGGCGUUAUUAGCACAAAUCAGUCCCAUAGAUAUGGGCCAUCUCCUGCUAGAUUGUUCAGAAGGUUGUUCUCAUCCAUCCAGAUGGAGGAUCACUAACAGGAGCGUGGAAGACUCCAGAAUCCACUCUGGCUGGAAUCCGGUGGAUAUGCAGUGUGUACAGGUACAGUACGUGAUAUCAAGGGCAGGCGGUCAACACUGGGGGUAGACAAGAAGCAGACGUACUUCCAAGAGGGAGCUGCAGUGAGGUCAGAGGUCAGAAUCUGAAACAGCUCAGGAGGCGCUGGAAGGUUUCCCUAAUAGUUCCUGGUGAAUCAAAGCAGAACCAUAAAGGUUGCUGGACUGCAUGAUGGCCUUACCCCUGAGCAGUCAUCCUGUUAAAGGAGGAACCAGUUAGAAGCUGUUUUCAAAGUAGCUGAGCAGAUUUCAUCUCAACAGACAAAGCCGAUUGCAGAAGAUGUCGGAGAAGAACUUCAGGCCGUGUACUGAAAAGUAGAUCAAAGCAGCUCGUGCUCCUUCUGCUUCCAAUUUAGAAGAAGAAGAAGAAGAAGGCGAAGGCUUCAGCGAAGUGGCGUUCAUGGUCUCAGUGAACAGUCACGGUCACACACUGCAUGUGGUUUUAAAAGCAACAUGUCUGUUCACCACAACAAUGGAGAUGUGUAAUAUUAGUGCAGCUACGGUUUGUUCUUGAACAUCAGUUCUGUUUUCUACUUUGAUCACUUAGA